ensembl:lncRNA
CCUGCCAUUAGGUGAAGCUUUGUGUGAACAAGCCACUGCUGCAGAGUGUGAGCAGCUCUCUCAAAACUGUCAAAGUGUGACUCCCACAGUUCAGAGCACUUCACUGCUUUUCUGCUGCACAUUUCUCUGUUUGACAAUAAUGGGCAACUAUGACAUGUCUGAUCAUAUUUAUGACAACACCAACUGGAUGAAAAAGGAUUCAUUUGGAAUUAGGAAAUCUGCCAAAAAGAAGCAAUGUAGACCUAUCUGUGCCAAGGUUCUUGCUGUUCUCCUCAUCCUGUCUCUGCUGGUUAAUGGAGUGCUGGCAUACUUGUAUGUCAAUAAUUAUAAAAAUGUGCUGUUGCAGUGCGAGCCAGGAACAAACUGCUCAAAUUCAGACCAUCAUCAAGGAAUUCCGGGCUGCACAUAUGAUGAGGACUGGAGGUCAAUAACCUACUGCCCAGAUUUGCCAGAGCAGUGGUAUAAGGGCAACGGCAGAUUUUACAUUUUCUCCAGUCACAACAAGACCUGGAACUCCAGCAGAGAGUAUUGUCAGGAUCUGGGUGGAGAUCUGGUCAUUAUCGACAACACAGAGGAGAAGGAAUUUCUUGCUCAGAGACUAUGUGUUGCUGGUGAAUCUGAUCUCUACUGGGCUGGGAACAAGGAUGGGAACUGGUCAGAUCUGAAUCCCAAAUACAACUGUGCUGUUCUUAAAGGAAAUACACAAGAAAACAUUUAUUGCUUAAGAGAAGAGAAGAGCAUUUGUGAGAUCCCAUGCCUUCAGUAAACCUACA